AAACCACUUUCCAUCCGUUUUCGGUAGUAAAGAAAAACUCUCGUUUUAUAUUGCCAUGGAUAAUCCAUGUAGAGUGAGUCCAAAAGAGGACGGAGGGUGUUUUUAUGUGUUUGUUUUAUUUUUCCAUCUGAUUUGGGAGAUUCGGUGGGGUUCAUAGGAUGCCUACCACCCUCCUUUAUAGAAGAAACAUCUGUUCUUCAAAAAAGGCAAGGAAGAGAGAAGGCUUCUGGUUACAAAUCGAAUCUACCAAUUGGGCUCAAUGCUAGAAUAAUAGGAAAGUGGUGACUCAUAAUCAGCUACGAAACAAAGCUCUCUACCGAUUUUUCCAAAGGACAUGCUACAUCUUUCAGAAGGCUCUUCAAUGCCAAGCGUAACUGACAGACAGGACAUCAGGGACUCUUGAUAAAUGAGUGGAAAAACAGGACCUGCUUUCAACACUCUAAAAAUAAGUGAUUCUAUGAAACUACCACCACAAAAAGGAACUAAAGAAGAAUGUGUCAGCUGUUCGAAUACAAUCAACUGAUUACGUAGAACGUUGUCAGAAAUGCACAUCUGUGCGGAGGGUGGCAGAGAGACUAGUCUGCCCCAAGAAGAAGUAUUUUAUCCCUGCCGUUGUUUGGAACUGCCACAUGUGGUGAUAAUAAAAAGCAGGCCAAUUAGUUGGCUUUCUUCUUUCUUGAAUUCUCUACUGACCACGUGCCCCGGCUCUCGUGGCUCCAUCCUCCCCCUCAAGUACACCAUCAAGUGUAACCAGGGACACAUGUUACCCAUCAGAUCAGACCUUUUCAAAAUUACUUUCAUUGGUCUUUUAAAAAAAAAAAAAAAAUCUCACUUCCCACGGCUUGACUGUCGGAUCCUGCCUUCCCCAGCCGGAUCUGUGUGUCUCGUGUGGUCCCCCAUUGCCCCACCCCCUCAGCUGCCUGCAGGCUCUGGUCAGCCAGGCCUGAGACGAUGAGAACUGAAAACCCCAUCCGCAUUAGGGAGUGGAGACUGCGGCUGCUGUGUCCCCUUGCCCCUCCAUCAGUUCCUCCACCCUCCAUCGCAGCAGGAGUUCUUCUAAGAUUUGGGGGGUCUCCGCCUGAAGCCCCUUUGAAGAGCAGAAACACAUUAGCACGAUCGCCACCACUGAUGGUAACUGCUCCCACUUCUACAGCAUAAGCUCUGGAGAACCAAAAUUCCAGGACUAGUGGAUUUUAAUGAAGAAUAUCCAAGUAUUUAUGUAACAUUCUAUUUAAACAGCAAGAUUGAAAAAUCUUCCCUAAAUUUAUUUCUGUUUCCAUGCUUUCAAAGCACAGUUGGAGAAGGAAGAAAGAGCAAUUUUGGAUGAAGGUAGUACAUGAGGAAGUGGGUUAGGUUGGAGCAGUUCAGAUUUUAAAGAGCCUGAGUCACUCCCCACCCAGGACAAGCAUCUAACCACAGACACGCUCUGUCACGCAUGUGCUGACUCCACUUUCCCCUUAUAAGUCAAUCUUUCAUGUUCUUUUUCUUGGAUUCAUUAAAAGGACAAAAACAUGUGUUCGUUCAGUGACUCGCCCUUCCUUAGCUCAGGCAAGUGAAACUUGAGGCUAAAACCACCCCAGGCAGAAUGAAAAUGCCAAGCUUUCCAAGUCAACUUUUCCCAAAUUAAAACCAAACAGAGGCUGUGAAGGAUCAAGUCCUCUUUUCCUGGAUCAACAAAUCAUAGAGGGAGUCACAAGAAAGUCAUUUUAAUGCAUGGCGAAGGUUUCCGUGCCUGCAGAGGAGUUUAUUAGGUUUGGAUAACAGAAGAGAAAGAAGAAAAGUUUCUGAAGCCAAAUAGAAAAAUCCAGGCCUGGAUGCUCAGGUUAGCCCCAAAUGGCUUCUCUUCCUGAGUCUUGCUGCCUUCACUGACACCUGGCUGCAGCUGUAAUAAUUGCUGCUAUUAACUGAGCACCUACAAAUUGGGUCUUGAACUUAGCUCUACUUGACUCCAAAUGUAUUCCUUCUGUUUGUUGCAGAGGCCCUGUUCUCCUUACAGUUAUAAAGAAAGACGAGUCCAGAUGGAACCAGGAAAGUGCCAUUGUCACUCCACUGGGACCCUAGUGAGGAUCCAAGGGAAUGAAGCGCAGUUUUCCAGGCCCUCCUUGGCCUCAGGUGGUGGGGAGAUGCACCCCUGGCAGGGAGAUGCACCCCUGGCAGCGCCAUGCAUCUUCCAUGGGGUGGGAAGACCGAGCGAAAAAUCAGCGUGUCGGGAGUGGUUCCAAGGGGGAGUCGAUUGCAUUGGAGUGAAUACUGGAAGCAGGAGAAAAUAAAUGCUCUUUUUGCUGAUUAUUGCCUCUACUAAUCUACAUGAGAUCACUGGUGUUAAAUUUUCUUACACGUUCCAUGAGUCGCAUCUUAAAAUUGUCUCAAAUGCUAUACCUGGAGAUUGCACUGACAUGCUUAAGAGGCCACAAGAGCCUCUUAAACAUGUAGAUCAUUCUGGAGAGGUGGGAGAGGCAGGGUGUUUCAUGAACAAAGGUGUUGGGCUGGAAGUCACAAGACAGGUGGGCUAGUCCCCGGUCUGUCACUCAUCCACUCAGUGCCAGCCAGGAGAAAUCAUGAUAACACAAAAAGAAUAGCUACUGUUUUCAGUAUUGAGCAUUUAUAACAUUGCAGGCAUUAGAUUAGCUGUUUCAUAUAUAAUACACUGUUUAAGUUUCAUGAUCCCUCCUCUAAUUCACUCUUACAAGAAAAAGGUCUAUUUAUGAUUAAAAUAGGUAAUUUCAGGAAACACUUUGGAGGGCAGGGUAAGGACCUCUGAAAAUCCAGUCUUCUUAAAAGCAGCAAGAACACUGUCAACAAUUGUGAAAAUCAACUUUUUCAGAACUCUGGAAGUUAGCCAAAGACUUGCAACAAUACCAGGAGCAUCGAUUCAAGAAAAAUGGCCGAAUCUUGGUAAGAGCAGUGAGCUCUGUGGAGUUGUAACUAGUCCUGUUCAAAGACCUGCGCCUCCAGCUCCCCAGCAGCCUUGAAAAUCAAUAGACUCGCAGCUACCAUAGCUGUGAAAAUGUGCUCUAUCCAUACAACGGCAUCUUAUUUAGCCCUAAAAAGGAAUGAAGACAUUGGUGAACCUUGAAAACGUGCCAAGUGAAGGAAGCCAAACACAAAAGGCCACGCAUCGUAUGGUUCCAUCUAUGUGAAAUGUCCGGGAUAGGCAAAUACAUAGAGACAGAAAGUAGAUUACAUGCUGACAGGGCCUGGGGGUCAGGAGUAAUGGGAGUGACUGUCAAUGGGCAUGGCCUUACUUUUUGGGAUAGUGUAAAUGUUCUGAAAUUAGAUGGUGACAAUGGUUGCAAACUCUGUGAAUAGACUAAAGACCAUUGAGUUGCACACAU
ensembl:lncRNA